UGCAGUCGAGCGGUAAGGCCCUUCGGGGUACACGAGCGGCGAACGGGUGAGUAACACGUGGGUAACCUGCCCUGUACUCUGGGAUAAGCCUGGGAAACUAGGUCUAAUACCGGAUAUGACUCCACUAGGCAUCUUGUGGGGUGGAAAGUUCCGGCGGUACAGGAUGGACCCGCGGCCUAUCAGCUUGUUGGUGGGGUAAUGGCCUACCAAGGCGACGACGGGUAGCCGGCCUGAGAGGGUGACCGGCCACACUGGGACUGAGACACGGCCCAGACUCCUACGGGAGGCAGCAGUGGGGAAUAUUGCACAAUGGGCGAAAGCCUGAUGCAGCGACGCCGCGUGAGGGAUGACGGCCUUCGGGUUGUAAACCUCUUUCAGCGGGGACGAAGGGCAACUGACGGUACCCGCAGAAGAAGCACCGGCUAACUACGUGCCAGCAGCCGCGGUAAUACGUAGGGUGCGAGCGUUGUCCGGAAUUAUUGGGCGUAAAGAGCUCGUAGGCGGUUUGUUGCGUCGGCUGUGAAAACUUCACGCUUAACGUGGAGCCUGCAGUCGAUACGGGCAGACUUGAGUUCGGCAGGGGAGACUGGAAUUCCUGGUGUAGCGGUGAAAUGCGUAG
rnacentral:rRNA from 1 species